GCGAGUUGCAAUGAUUUACUGUGGUAACUGACAUUAUGCCACAAUGAUUGUUGAUAGAGCUGGACUUGUAUCUAUCCCUGAACAUUCAUUUAAUUCUUCAUCUCAGACUGUGAUUAUGUGUGAGGGUUGUUAAUUAGAAAUAGGCAGAUUUACUCUAAUCCUUCAGCUUGACUAGUUCAGUUUUGUGGAAUUUGGCGAUAAUUUCAUAUUUGUUUUGUUCCACUCUCGAGAGCUGGAUGUUCAUGUUUUCUUGGGUGGAUUAGGCCGAGUGCUCUUCUGCAAAUGUUUAUAUACACUGACCACAUUCUCAUGCUCCACAGAAAUCUAGUGUCAGUGCUGUAGAGUUUCCUGAUUUGUUUGUAAUUGUGCGUUGGAGUGCUUUUCACUGUAGAGUUUAAAUCCUGUCAUGAUGGAUGUUAUGUUUCUGUCUGCCAUACAGCCCCAUUAUAUCAAGCUGGACACACUCAGUGGAAACCUCUUAGGGAAUAAUUGCACUUGACUUUAUUAUGGCAGAGCUGAAGCAGGCAUUUUCUGUGUCUUCUCUUAUAGAGCUCAGCGUUCUCCUGUCAUGUUCAGGAUCAGGGUGUGGUCAGCAUGUUCGAACUGUCGGUGCCGUUCCGCCAGCAGCAUUUUCUUUCUGGUCUGCUGUUGGCUGAGCUGUCACUCAUCCUGGAGCCAGAUGGAGAGGGCAUGUUCUUCCUACACAAGAAGGCCAUUAGUGCGCUGCAUUCUCUGCUGUGCAGUCACGACGCGGACCCCCGCUACACAGACCCCCAGGUCCGCUCGCACAUCGCCCAGCUCUACCUGCCACUCAUCCCCAUCGUCAUGGAGACGCUGCCCCAGCUUCACGACUUCACCGGUUAGUGAGACCCUGUGAGCCGAGCGCCCACAAUAGAGCAGACUGCUUAUCUCUGCGGUUAUUUAUAUAAACUCUGUUUAUGAGUUGAAUAGUCUUUUAAAGGUCAGCGCUCCACAGUCAUUAAAAACUGAACAAAAGUCCCAUUUCAACCGAGAUCUGUAUCUCUCCACCUCUGUGUGUCCCAGACACGUCCCCACAGCGUGUACGUCACGCCUCGGCGCUCGUCGAUGAUAGCGACCCAGACAACGGCACCAUCAGCCAGUCUGUUGCCAUGGCGAUAGCUGGCUCACCACUCCCCCAUUCCAAAGCCCCCCCCUUCACUCUGCCGUCCGUGGUGAGUACCUGCUUAUUGACCGCUGUUAAGAACUGUUAAUAAUUAAUAUGAGUGAAGGUUUGUGAAGUGUUAACAGUUUUUGAACAGUAGUGUACAGUAUGUUUAGAUUAACCCUUUGAAAGAAGUCUCUUAUGGCUGCAUUUGUUUGAUCAAAAAUAGAGUGAAAUAUUAUCACAAUUUAAAAUAACUGUGUUCUAGUUUAAUACAAUACUCUGAAAAAUGUAAUUUAUUCCUGUGAUGAAUCUUCAGCAUCAUUACUCCAGUCUUCAGUGUCACAUGAUCCUUCAGAAAUCAUUCUAAUAUAAUGAUUUGCUGCUCAAGAAACAGUUAUUAUUAUAAUCAAUGUUGAAAACAGUUGUGCUGCUUAA
rnacentral:lncRNA from 1 species